AAAGACAAGAGCACCUGAUCGCCCUCCCCCUCUCCCUCCUCCAGUUUCUCGGGAGCUUCCUGUAGAGACUGAGACCAUCCAGACACAGCUUCAUCAGAGAACCAACGAGGAGCACUACACCUACACCAACGUUCCCUGGAGACUGUACCUCAGGAAGGAGGUCUUUUAUCCCAAAGACAGCUUCAACAACCCCCUGG